CACAGGCACAAGUGGAGGAACAGGUGAGACAGUGACUGCAACCACUGCAGGAAGCACAUCUGGAAGAACAGGUUCAACAGGGGCAUCUUCAGGAACCAGCUCAGGAGCAGGCAAGGGAAGCUCACCUGGAACACCAAGCACUGAGGCCACCAUCUCUGUUACACCAUCAGGAACAAGAGCAGGAACUGAUGCAGCCACCACUGGAGUUGCUGAGGCAAGCACACCCAGAGAAACAGGUACUGAGGUGGCUCAGCAGAGGGAAACUGAGUCAGUAGAUUUGUAAGUAGGUGUUCAUAAUUUCAUCAGUGUUACAGUUUCCUGUAAUUUGCAAUUUGCUGCCAAUUGUUAUAGAUAUAAGAAGGAAACUGGAAAUGUUUGGG
rnacentral:lncRNA from 1 species